AUGGAUGACGUGUGGAACCAAGAAGCAUGGGAAAACGUGCUUCGCACCCCCAUUCUUAAUGCCGCCGAUGCACAACCAGGAAGCCGAGUCUUGGUUACCUCAAGAAAGAUUGAUGUCGUUCGGAGCAUGGGAGCUUCCAUCCUGCGUGUCGGCACACUAAACGAUGAAGAUGCUUGGUGCUUGCUAAAGAAACAGCUACCACAACCACGGGUUGGUGUUGGAAGUGAUUUUGAUGAGCUGAAAGAUAUAGGGAUGAAGAUUGUAAAAAAAUGUGAUGGGUUACCACUUGCUAUUAAAGUUAUGGGUGGACUCUUAAGCAGAAGAGAUCCAAUGGAACGUGAUUGGGAGAUUGUUUUGCACAAGAAUCUUGGAUGGAAUGAAGAAGAUGGGUCAAGAGAGGAACUGAAUUACUCAGUAGGCUUGAGCUACGAUGAUUUAUCUCCAGAGUUGAAGCAAUGCUUUCUCUACUACUCACUUUUGCCAAAGGGUCCAGGUGUUGAAAAGGAUACAGUUAUUAGCAUGUGGAUUAGUGAAGGGUUUGUUCAACAUGAUGGGAGGUUGGAGUCAGGUGAAUUUGGUCUUGAAGAAAUAGGGGCUGAGUAUCAUCGGGAGUUAGUCGCUAGGAAUCUCUUGGAGCUCAAUGAUCCAGCUAAGAGCAUAUGGGAAUACACCUUGCAUGAUGUUGUCCGCUCGUUUGCUCAAUUUAUGUCUAAAGAAGAAGCUUUCGUGGUUCACAAGGAUCAAGCUGACGUUGGAAAUCUGGUUCCGGAAAACAAAAAAAUUUGCCGUCUGGCAAUAAAGUUAACUCAUUCAGAACUAGAGUUGAGCAUCCUAGAGAAGCAAGAAACAUUGAGGACAUUAUUGAUAUAUUGUGAGAUUAAACCUGGUGGUUCCUUGACAAAUUUUGCUAGUCUACGAGUAUUGGAUAUAAGGUCAAAGAAAUCUGAUUGGUUAGUGGACUCUGUGUGUGAGCUGAGACACCUAAGGUUCUUGACAUUCUCCAAUACAAACAUAUCAAGCCUUCCAGAUGACAUCCAUAAGAUGAGGUUCCUUCAACACAUUCAGCUCUGGGGAUGUACAAAGUUGGAAAAGCUUCCUAACAGCAUCACAAAACUAGCAUGUUUAAGAUAUCUUGACUUGUAUGGGUCUAAUGUAGAUGUUAUACCAAGAGGGUUUGGUGGUUUAACAGAUCUGAGAUCCCUUGGUGGGUUUCCAGUAAAGAUGGAUGGGGAGUGGUGCAGUUUAGAAGAGUUGGAGGCUCUUUCACAUCUUAGAAAACUUGCAGUCGAAAGUCUAGAAAAUGUGCCUGGUAGUUCAGUUGCUAAAAGGGCCCAGAUUAGCAACAAGAAGAAUCUAGAAUAUUUGGAGUUAAAUUGCUACAAGGAUGAGACAGAUGAAGUGCACCAAAUUGGGGUGGAGCAACAAGAGAGAAUAGAGGCUGUAUUUGAUGAGCUCUGCCCUCCACCUGCUAGACUGGAGACACUAGGAAUAAGAAGUUAUUUUGGUCGUCGACUACCAAAUUGGUUGCAGUCCCCAGCAGCAACAACCUUUAAGAGCUUGAAGCAUAUUGGCCUAGUGCACAUAACCCACUGCACCCGACUACCCGAUGGUUUGUGCAGGAUCCUUGGUUUGGAAAUACUGAGGAUUGAGCAUGCUCCAGCCAUCGAGCAUGUGGGGCCUGACUUCCAGACCCAUGAUGAAGCAAGGGGAGAAGGAGGUGUCGCAUUCCCAAGUCUGAGAGAAUUGGUGUUGAGUGGGCUGUCCGGAUGGAAGGAGUGGGAGUGGGAGGCGGAGCAGAGCAAAGUCAUAGCCAUGCCAGCUUUGGAGCAUCUCGUACUCGUGGACUGCAAGCUGACACACCUUCCCCAAGGACUUGCUAGUGAUUACAGGUAUAAUCUGAGAACCGUUGCGCUAGAGAAGCUCACGCUCCUAGAAUAUGUGGAGAAUUUCCCUUGGGUUGUGGAGCUCAGAGUGUACCGCUGCCCUGAGCUGAAGAGGAUCAGCGGCCUCACCAAGUUGUGGAUGGUCGAUAUAUAUGAUUGCCCAAAGUUGAAGCUGCUGGAGGGUGUCCCGGCUCUGGACAGCAUGGAGUGGAAUUGUAAACACUGGGUGGUUGCUUUGCUGGACCAGAUGCGAGGUGCACACCCAAGGGACAUCAAGCCAAGGACGAAGUGCCGCCUGAGCUCCCGGAAGACCUUGUUGUAA
rnacentral:rRNA from 1 species